AAAAUUUUAGUUUAAUAAAAAUUUUUCAAUUACUCUGAAAAGAUUAGUGUGUCAUCUAAAAUUUUA
rnacentral:tRNA from 1 species